rnacentral:rRNA from 1 species
AUUGAACGCUGGCGGCAGGCUUAACACAUGCAAGUCGAGCGGAGCGAGGGUGCUUGCACCUUAGCUUAGCGGCGGACGGGUGAGUAAUGCUUAGGAAUCUGCCUAUUAGUGGGGGACAACAUUCCGAAAGGGAUGCUAAUACCGCAUACGCCCUACGGGGGAAAGCAGGGGAUCUUCGGACCUUGCGCUAAUAGAUGAGCCUAAGUCGGAUUAGCUAGUUGGUGGGGUAAAGGCCUACCAAGGCGACGAUCUGUAGCGGGUCUGAGAGGAUGAUCCGCCACACUGGGACUGAGACACGGCCCAGACUCCUACGGGAGGCAGCAGUGGGGAAUAUUGGACAAUGGGCGGAAGCCUGAUCCAGCCAUGCCGCGUGUGUGAAGAAGGCCUUUUGGUUGUAAAGCACUUUAAGCGAGGAGGAGGCUACUAGUAUUAAUACUACUGGAUAGUGGACGUUACUCGCAGAAUAAGCACCGGCUAACUCUGUGCCAGCAGCCGCCGCCGUAA